rnacentral:rRNA from 1 species
GGCUCGUGUCGUGAGAUGUUGGGUUAAGUCCCGCAACGAGCGCAACCCCUACGUUUAGUUGCUAACGCGUGAAGGCGAGCACUCUAGACGAACUGCCGUUGACAAAACGGAGGAAGUGGGAUGACGUCAAAUCAUCAUGCCCCUUAUGUUCUGGGCUACACACGUGCUACAAUGGCCGGUACAGACGGAGGCGAAGCCGCGAGGCGGAGCAAAUCCGAAAAAGCCGGUCUCAGUUCGGAUUGCAGGCUGCAAUUCGCCUGCAUGAAGUCGGAAUCGCUAGUAAUCGCAGGUCAGCAUACUGCGGUGAAUACGUUCCCGGGCCUU